AUGGCCUCCGACCGCCUCGCCGCCCUCAAGGCCUUCGACGAGACCAAGGCCGGCGUGAAGGGCCUCGUGGACGCCGGCGUCAAGGCCGUCCCGGACAUCUUCCGCCACCCUCCCGACCCGCUCUCCCCGUGCACCAAGGUCGCCGCCAUCCCGGUCGUCGACCUCUCGGGUCCCCGCUCGGAGGUGGUCGGCGCGGUGAGGGAGGCGGCGCGGACGGCGGGCUUCUUCCAGCUGGUGAACCACGGCGUGCCGGAGGCGGCCAUGUCGGGGAUGCUGGCGGCGGUGCGGCGGUUCAACGAGGAGCCCGCGGAGGCCAAGGCGCCCUACUACACGCGGGACGCCGGGCGGCGCGUGCGCUACAACUGCAACGCCGACCUCUUCCGGACGCUGCUGGGCAAGUGGCGCGACACCAUCUACAUGGACGACGUGGACCAGCUGGCGCCGGGCGAGGAGGAGGAGGUCCUCCCGCCGGCGUGCAGGGGCGUCGCACCGAAGUACACGGCGCAGAUGCGGAUGCUGGGGCGCGCGCUCUUCGAGCUGCUGUCGGAGGCCCUGGGCGAGGAGGCCGGCUGCCUGGAGACGCUCAGCGUCGCCGGCCACUACUACCCGGCAUGCCCGGAGCCGCACCUGACGCUGGGCGCCGUCAGGCACAACGACCCCGGCUUCCUCACCGUGCUGCUCCAGGACGGCGUCGGCGGACUCCAGGUGCUCACGGACGUCGAGGACGACGAAGGGAACAUGUCCGCCGCGUGGGCCGACGUGCCGGCGGUGCCGGGGGCGCUGGUGGUGAACGUCGGCGACUUCCUGCAGCUGGUGUCCAACGACAGGUUCCGGAGCGUCGCGCACCGCGUGGUGGCCAACAGCGUGGGGCCCCGGAUGUCGGUGGCGUGCUUCUUCAGGGCCAAGGGAGCUACGGUGUGCGCCCCGGUGGUCAUGGACGGGGGUGGCCUGCCGCGCUACCGGACCGUCACGGCGGAGGAGCUGCUCCGCUCGUCCGGGAAGCAGAACGGGCUCCGUGACGUGAGGCUCUAG
rnacentral:rRNA from 1 species